CCUAGGGAUAGUGGACGUUACUCGCAGAAUAAGCACCGGCUAACUCUGUGCCAGCAGCCGCGGUAAUACAGAGGGUGCGAGCGUUAAUCGGAUUUACUGGGCGUAAAGCGUGCGUAGGCGGCUUAUUAAGUCGGAUGUGAAAUCCCCGAGCUUAACUUGGGAAUUGCAUUCGAUACUGGUGAGCUAGAGUAUGGGAGAGGAUGGUAGAAUUCCAGGUGUAGCGGUGAAAUGCGUAGAGAUCUGGAGGAAUACCGAUGGCGAAGGCAGCCAUCUGGCCUAAUACUGACGCUGAGGUACGAAAGCAUGGGGAGCAAACAGGAUUAGAUACCCUGGUAGUCCACGCCGUAAACGAUGUCAACUAGCCGUUCGGGCCUUCGAGGCUUUAGUGGCGCAGCUAACGCGAUAAGUAGACCACCUGGGGAG
rnacentral:rRNA from 1 species